rnacentral:piRNA from 1 species
AUUCAUGCUUAUACCCCAUGUCUUUCAUGGUU